rnacentral:lncRNA from 1 species
UCCCAAACAUGUUUUAGGGUAUAAUUAGGAAGAUUGCAUGCGUUCGUUGCGAAAAAAUCCACCCGAGUUUCGCUACCCGGCAAUAGUGCAUUCGGGUGCCGAAAUGCACCCGUUUUGCAUCAUUUUUCGUUCCGGAACCGAAUGCUCAAAAACACUCCCAAACAUGUUCUAGGGUAUAAUUAUGAAGAUUGCAUGCGUUCGUUGCGAAAAAAUCCAAUCGAGUUUCGCUACACGGAAAAAGUGCAUUCGGGUGCCGAAAUGCACCCGUUUUGCAUCAUUUUUCGUUCCGGAACCGAAUGCUCAAAAACACUCCCAAACAUGUUUUAGGGUAUAAUUAGGAAGAUUGCAUGCGUUCGUUGCGAAAAAAUCCACCCGAGUUUCGCUACCCGGCAAUAUGCAUUCGGGUGCCGAAAUGCACCCGUUUUGCAUCAUUUUUCAUUCCGGAACCGAAUGCUCAAAAACACUCCCAAACAUGUUCUAGGGUAUAAUUAUGAAGAUUGCAUGCGUUCGUUGCGAAAAAAUCAACCCGAGUUUCGCUACCCGUAAAUAGUGCAUUCGGCUACCGAAAUGCACCCGUUUUGCAUCGUUUUUCGUUCCGGAACCGAAUGCUCAAAAACACUCCCAAACAUGUUUUAGGGUAUAAUUACGAAGAUUGCAUGCGUUCGUUGCGAAAAAAUCCACCCGAGUUUCGCUACCCGGCAAUAUGCAUUCGGGUGCCGAAAUGCACCCGUAUUGCAUCAUUUUUCGUUCCGGAACCGAAUGCUCAAAAGCACUCCCAAACAUGUUCUAGGGUAUAAUUAUGAAGAUUGCAUGCGUUCGUUGCGAAAAAAUCAACCCGAGUUUCGCUACCCGUAAAUAGUGCAUUCGGCUACCGAAAUGCACCCGUUUUGCAUCAUUUUUCGUUCCGGAACCGAAUGCUCAAAAACACUCCCAAACAUGUUGUAGGGUAUAAUUACGAAGAUUGCAUGCGUUCGUUGCGAAAAAAUCCACCCGAGUUUCGCUACCCGGCAAUAUGCAAUCGGGUGCCGAAAUGCACCCGUUUUGCAUCAUUUUUCGUUCCGGAACCGAAUGCUCAAAAACACUCCCAAACAUGUUCUAGGGUAUAAUUAUGAAGAUUGCAUGCGUUCGUUGCGAAAAAAUCCACCCGAGUUUCGCUACCCGGCAAUAUGCAUUCGGGUACCGAAAUGCACCCGUAUUGCAUCAUUUUUCGUUCCGGAACCGAAUGCUCAAAAACACUCCCAAACAUGUUCUAGGGUAUAAUUAUGAAGAUUGCAUGCGUUCGUUGCGAAAAAAUCAACCCGAGUUUCGCUACCCGUAAAUAGUGCAUUCGGCUACCGAAAUGCACCCGUUUUGCAUCAUUUUUCGUGCUGUAACCGAAUGCUCAGAAACACUCCCAAACAUGUUCUAGGGUCUAAUUAGAAAGAUUGCACGCGUCCGUUGCGAAAAAUUCCACCCGAGUUUCGUUACCCUCGAAAUAGUGAAUUCGGGUGCCGAAAUGCACCCGUUUUGCAUUGAUUUUCGUGCCGAAACCGAACGCUCAAAAACACUACCAAACAUGUUCUAGGGUAUAAUUAGGAAUAUUGCAUGCGUUCGUUGCGAAAAAAUCCACCCGAGUUUCGCUACCCCGGAAAUAGUGCAUUCGGGUGCCGAAAUGCACCCGUUUUGCAUCAUUUUUCGUUCCGGAACCGAAUGCUCAAAAACACUCCCAAACAUGUUCUAGGGUAUAAUUAUGAAGAUUGCAUGCGUUCGUUGCGAAAAAAUCCAAUCGAGUUUCGCUACACGGAAAAAGUGCAUUCGGGUGCCGAAAUGCACCCGUUUUGCAUCAUUUUUCGUUCCGGAACCGAAUGCUCAAAAACUCUCCCAAACAUGUUUUAGGGUAUAAUUAGGAAGAUUGCAUGCGUUCGUUGCGAAAAAAUCCACCCGAGUUUCGCUACCCGGCAAUAGUGCAUUCGGGUGCCGAAAUGCACCCGUUUUGCAUCAUUUUUCGUUCCGGAACCGAAUGCUCAAAAACACUCCCAAACAUGUUCUAGGGUAUAAUUAUGAAGAUUGCAUGCGUUCGUUGCGAAAAAAUCCAAUCGAGUUUCGCUACACGGAAAAAGUGCAUUCGGGUGCCGAAAUGCACCCGUUUUGCAUCAUUUUUCGUUCCGGAACCGAAUGCUCAAAAACACUCCCAAACAUGUUUUAGGGUAUAAUUAGGAAGAUUGCAUGCGUUCGUUGCGAAAAAAUCCACCCGAGUUUCGCUACCCGGCAAUAUGCAUUCGGGUGCCGAAAUGCACCCGUUUUGCAUCAUUUUUCGUUCCGGAACCGAAUGCUCAAAAACACUCCCAAACAUGUUCUAGGGUAUAAUUAUGAAGAUUGCAUGCGUUCGUUGCGAAAAAAUCAACCCGAGUUUCGCUACCCGUAAAUAGUGCAUUCGGCUACCGAAAUGCACCCGUUUUGCAUCGUUUUUCGUUCCGGAACCGAAUGCUCAAAAACACUCCCAAACAUGUUUUAGGGUAUAAUUACGAAGAUUGCAUGCGUUCGUUGCGAAAAAAUCCACCCGAGUUUCGCUACCCGGCAAUAUGCAUUCGGGUGCCGAAAUGCACCCGUUUUGCAUCAUUUUUCAUUCCGGAACCGAAUGCUCAAAAACACUCCCAAACAUGUUCUAGGGUAUAAUUAUGAAGAUUGCAUGCGUUCGUUGCGAAAAAAUCAACCCGAGUUUCGCUACCCGUAAAUAGUGCAUUCGGCUACCGAAAUGCACCCGUUUUGCAUCGUUUUUCGUUCCGGAACCGAAUGCUCAAAAACACUCCCAAACAUGUUUUAGGGUAUAAUUACGAAGAUUGCAUGCGUUCGUUGCGAAAAAAUCCACCCGAGUUUCGCUACCCGGCAAUAUGCAUUCGGGUGCCGAAAUGCACCCGUAUUGCAUCAUUUUUCGUUCCGGAACCGAAUGCUCAAAAGCACUCCCAAACAUGUUCUAGGGUAUAAUUAUGAAGAUUGCAUGCGUUCGUUGCGAAAAAAUCAACCCGAGUUUCGCUACCCGUAAAUAGUGCAUUCGGCUACCGAAAUGCACCCGUUUUGCAUCGUUUUUCGUGCUGUAACCGAAUGCUCAGAAACACUCCCAAACAUGUUCUAGGGUCUAAUUAGAAAGAUUGCACGCGUUCGUUGCGAAAAAAUCCACCCGAGUUUCGCUACCCGGCAAUAUGCAAUCGGGUGCCGAAAUGCACCCGUUUUGCAUCAUUUUUCGUUCCGGAACCGAAUGCUCAAAAACACUCCCAAACAUAUUCUAGGGUAUAAUUAUGAAGAUUGCAUGCGUUCGUUGCGAAAAAAUCCACCCGAGUUUCGCUACCCGGCAAUAUGCAUUCGGGUACCGAAAUGCACCCGUAUUGCAUCAUUUUUCGUUCCGGAACCGAAUGCUCAAAAACACUCCCAAACAUGUUCUAGGGUAUAAUUAUGAAGAUUGCAUGCGUUCGUUGCGAAAAAAUCCACCCGAGUUUCGCUAC